rnacentral:rRNA from 1 species
GACGAACGCUGGCGGCGUGCCUAAUACAUGCAAGUUGAGCGCUGAAGGUUGGUACUUGUACCAACUGGAUGAGCAGCGAACGGGUGAGUAACGCGUGGGGAAUCUGCCUUUGAGCGGGGGACAACAUUUGGAAACGAAUGCUAAUACCGCAUAAAAACUUUAAACACAAGUUUUAAGUUUGAAAGAUGCAAUUGCAUCACUCAAAGAUGAUCCCGCGUUGUAUUAGCUAGUUGGUGAGGUAAAGGCUCACCAAGGCGAUGAUACAUAGCCGACCUGAGAGGGUGAUCGGCCACAUUGGGACUGAGACACGGCCCAAACUCCUACGGGAGGCAGCAGUAGGGAAUCUUCGGCAAUGGACGAAAGUCUGACCGAGCAACGCCGCGUGAGUGAAGAAGGCUUUCGGAUCGUAAAACUCUGUUGGUAGAGAAGAACGUUGGCGAGAGUGGAAAGCUCAUCAAGUGACGGUAACUACCCAGAAAGGGACGGCUAACUACGUG